rnacentral:rRNA from 1 species
UUGGUGAAAGCCUUCGGCUUAACCGGAGAAGUGCAUCGGAAACUGGAUAACUUGAGUGCAGAAGAGGGUAGUGGAACUCCAUGUGUAGCGGUGGAAUGCGUAGAUAUAUGGAAGAACACCAGUGGCGAAGGCGGCUACCUGGUCUGCAACUGACGCUGAGACUCGAAAGCAUGGGUAGCGAACAGGAUUAGAUACCCUGGUAG